AUGAUCAUUGGUGAUGGAGGAAAGCAGCAUACUAUCUCCGAUGGCCACGUCUUACCACAACUGGCAUCGGAGAAGGUAGUUGUUGCCUCCACUUCGCCCUCCGCUGUCAACAUCAAAGAAGAAUUUGAAGCUGAUAUCAUGCAAAACAUCAACCGGAGCUCCAACAGCCUCAUCUCCGUGCACCGUGUCAUGUUUGGACUCGAAGGCUGGGCGGACCUACCACAUGGAUUAUUGCACUCCAUCAUUGUCCUGUUUGGUUCAACUCGUGACCUUCUUGCAUUCAUCGCCACCUGCCCUAGCUGGUAUGCCGCAUUCAUGUCAAUCAAAUCUACCUUAGGCGAGCUCUUCCCACCUGUUAUUUUCCGGAAUUGUGCCGACCAGACAAGCUCAGCUGGCUCUAACAUUGGAAACACAUGGGAGCUCAUUGAUCCUGUAUAUCCAAGUACUCCGUUGUGUCGCUUGACCCCUCCAAGUAUUUUGGACAAAAUGGCAGUCAUCAAAUGUUCUUAUGGUCAUGCGAUUUUCUGCUACGACAGAUCCCUUGUCAUUAUGGACGUGCUCAUUGGCACUACGGUUGCAGCUCCACCUUUCCCACUGAGUCAACUAUGCCACAUAACCUUCAUAUCUCCAGAGGCAUCACCCGAUUCAUAUCUAUUUGUCAGCAGCCCGCACUGCCUGUAUGCUUGGCGAGUUGGGAGCCCCUCUUGGUUGCACUGCGAUUUUCUAAAUGCACAUUUGAUCAAGGAGAUAGUAUCCUUCAAAGGCCGGGUCAUUAUGAGGAUGCGUCAAAAACACGACUUGAAGAAGUGGAAGUAUGUGAGCAUGGAAGAGGGAGGCUUGAAGAAGUGGGCGUUCUUCUUUGGCGAGAAACAUACUGGACAGCCACGACUUUUAGUGAAUCCAGAGAGAAUGGGUUUAAGGGGUGGCCUUGUCUAUCAGUUGGAUGAAAACGCUCGAGUAUUUUCAUACCCAGUAGAUGGCAACCAAAAUGAGGAGUUGGAGCCAGAACCUUGUUUUGCGACGAUCAAUGCUUAUCUUGCUCGCAAUCCUACAUCCUUUGCAGCUUGGGUAUGA
rnacentral:rRNA from 1 species